rnacentral:rRNA from 1 species
CGCAUAGUGGAUUAGAUACCCUAGUAGUCCACGCCGUAAACGAUGAGAACUAGCCGUUUGGCCCCUUGAGGGUUUAGUGGCGCAGCUAACGCGAUAAGUUCUCCGCCUGGGGAGUACGGCCGCAAGGUUAAAACUCAAGUGAAUUGACGGGUGCCCGCACAAGCGGUGGAGCAUGUUGUUUAAUUCGUCGCAACGCGAAGAACCUUACCACCCCUUGACAUCCACGGAACUUUCCAGAGAUGGAUUGGUGC